AAAUGAAUGAAUGGAACGCUUCUCGCGUCAGUCAGGAAAAACACUGUCCAAGUCACAGUGAUCAGCUAUCCAGCAGCAGCUAACCAGCAGAACAGU